ensembl:lncRNA
UUAAUUAGCUAGCAAUUUACUUUACCUUGAUUUUCUUUUUAGAAUUGCCCUUUCUGAAACCCAAGUUUAUGUAGUUACAUUGAGCUGUUGAGUGUACAUGAAAGGGGAAAAAUGUAUAUGUUAAUUGAUGCUGGAAUAAAGUGAGUUUGCUAGCAAGCGACGUUGGCUAACUAUCGAACAAUCAAUACCGGAAGACUUCAUUUAGCAUCGCACGCAGUAUUUUGUCAAAUGUAGCCUAUAAUCCAUGUCGGUUUAAUUAUUAGUGAAGGAGAACGUGCCUCGUCAAAAUGUGUAGCAGCAAGGUGAUAUCGAUAGUGCAACUUUCUCUGUCUAACGGCUGGAAUUUUGUAGAAUGAUGCUGUGAACCAAAAAUGAAUGAAUCUCUCGUUUUUAUUGUUGAAAUUGGAAUUUUAUCAUAUUCUAAGUAAAUAAAUGUUCAACGGCCGACGCCAAUCAGUCAUUUUUUUUGGAGGGAGAUGACAUUACAGUGACAACUUCCACAGCAUAUACUACUUAAAUGUGUUGCUAUCGAUAGCCUUGCUCACUGUUUGAUGAGCAUUUUCCUUUUGCAAAAGUUUCAAACGUUAUUAGUAGUGCUUGACUUGGACCGAAAUUGGUUCCGGAACUGUUUAUAUUUAGGUGCUCAACAAUCAUUUUGAACAUAUAUUCUAUAAGAGGUACAGGGGCUCAAACAAUAGAACAUUUGAGGUGCAGGUACGCGGCUCUGGCGAGUUCUCGCCCAAGUCAAACACUGCUUAUCAGCUGAUAUGACAACAUUUCUAUGUGUUCAUGCUUUUCUCUGCAGGCCUACAGUAAACUCUUGAGGGUGACCUGUGACAGUGGACCAUGCCCCAGACAACGAGUAACCCCCCAGGCUUGUGCAUUGGUGCCAAAACCAUUCCAGAGAGAAAGCAGAUAUAUUCAUGCAAUGGUAUACUGGACCCUUCUCCAGGGCGUAGGUACAAGCAGGCCUAUCCUUUCAGGUAUAGGUGGAAAUGGAGGAAGAAGUCCAAAAAAAAACCGCCACCAGCCCCACCUCUGCCAUCAUAUGAGGAAGAAAACUGGGAGGAGGAGAUAGGAAGCUUUGAGACAUAUGGAUUUGCUCCAUAUGGCCCAGAGGAUGUGGAUAGAGUGGCCCUACAGGGGUUGACCCUGAACCAGACUCCCUGCCCUCCCCACCCCCAGACAGCAACCGACUACAGCCCUGCGACCCACCACCAAGCCCCCGUCAAAUGGGUUCGCCACAUCAUCCGCAGCGUGGAGGAGCAGUUUGUCGACGCAGAGGAUUGAGGUCCGGUGUGUCCUGAUACACUUUUUAUUAGUUAACUCUUUAAUCGUAAGCUCUUAGGAAUGAUAUUUUAGUUGGUUUCUCAGGUGUCAGGGUUAGGGUUAGUAUUACUUGUUCCUUGGUUUGUUAAUGAAUUAGGAUGUCAUAUUUGUAGCCUCGUUGACAGUUGGGUUACAUGUUAACAAUUCAUUAUUUUUUUUGUGAAUCAUUUCAAUAGAUGUGUAGUCUAACUCUUAACUAAAAGAGAAAUUGUAGUUUUUAUCUUAUUUUUUAAAUACUUUUGUUUUAAAAGCAAUCACCUGAUAUAGGCCCAUGUGUUCAAGUGUCACUCCCUUUAAAAUCAUAUGUGUUAAAAUGGAGAGGGCACAGUGCAAGAAUAAGUAUGUUUGGAUAUAUUCUCAAAUGGAUUUUCCUGAUUGAUUCUGAGCCCAUGGAGAGCAAGAGGUCAGGUUGCCAUGACUACAGCACCCUGUAAGACACCACCCACUGGGCACAGAUGUCAAUUCAACGUCUAUUCCAAGUUGGUUCAAUGUAAUUUCAUUGAAAUGGUGUGGAAACAAUGUUGAUUCAACCAGUGUGCGCUCAGUGGAAAUGAAAUUCAGCUUUUGAGAUCCAAGAUAUCUUUAAUGCAAAUAAACCAUGCAUUUUAACAACAAAACUCUACACUGAUGCAUCAUUCCCACAGUGUUUUGGUUGUAGUGGUAGUAGUUCAGAAGAGAAAAUUGUAGCAUUAGAUGCCCACUAGGUGGCAGUGUUGGUUAAAUAUUACAUUUACCUCCAUUGCGCUGAAUUCUUUCCAUGCAGCUCUGGGUUUAUAUAGUGAGUUCAUUCAGUUCAUAGGCCCUGUUCAAAUACAAAAAAAAAUGCAUCCAUCCUCCCUUCCUUCCUACCUUUCUUGAAAGUAAAUCACAGAUCUGAAUUGGUGAAAACAAGAAGGAGCUAACUUUGCUGUGGGCCCGGUUUCCCUAAACCAUCUUAAGGUUAAGUUCAUCGUUAGUACCUUCGUAGGAGCAUCUUUAAAUAUCUGAGCUGUUCACCACAACUCUUGUUAUUAACGUUGCAUUUGAAAACGCUUGUAAUCGUAACGCCUGCCUCAGACCACUCAUAAAACACUUAAAUGUAUUGUUAGUGUGGAGCCCAAACUGUUCGGACGCUACAGACAGAAGUUGGCUGAUAGGCUCUACCGACUUCAGACGAGUCCCAAUACGCUUGUGGGGGUCGUAGAGCAAAACGAAGGACACCGUCGUGUUCGUGAGAGUCAUCUUUCCACAUGGGGCUCAUAACAGUCUGUAGGCCAAACCGUUCAGACACUACAGACGGGAUUUUCGGGAUGUCCCAUGGCCUGACACACAGCUCUUAGCUCUGGCACCUUGGAUUGAGAAGCAUCCAAUACAACAAAAAAAACAUCACUAGUUUAAACUGACAGAUUUUGAUGGGGAUUUUGUUAUUAUGCUAACGUGCGUAACGAUGUGACAAAUCUGUGUAUUUUUUAAAUACAUUUUUUUCCUAUUUAUUGGGUAAGCAUUGGAAUAAGCCGCCUCAAUAUUGCAGCCGCAGUUGGUAAUAUCUCUAGGAGCUGAGCCGUCGUCAGCAUUGUGAAAUAAUUAUAAUGUCAAGGUAAGAUUUUAAUGGAGAAAGCUGAUCCGAGAGCAGGGCUCCCUUUCUUUCGAUCCAAUCAGUAACGAUGCAUGCGCCAACGACGCACUUAGAACGUUCUCUUUGCGUGUUGUUUUGGGAAAAGCACGUUACGCAUGUUACGUCUUCGGCCGUUUUUUGUAAGAAAGAUGCAUCGUUAAAACACUUCUAAGCCUAAAUUAUAUUGCUAUCGUGGAAACCGGGUCCAGACCUAUCCAAUAGCAAACCGGGUCCAGCCCUAACCCAUUUCUAAUAAAUCUGUCUUUUACCUCAAGGAAAUAAGGAAGGAAGGACGCAUUUCUAAAGUAAGAGUACAAGGCCCACACGUUCACUUGCCAAUUUACAUUACUUUCCCAAGCAUCAUGCACAAAGACGGUUCUUUUGAUGAGCUAACAAUUCAAUUAUUUAUUGUAACCAAUCUGAUUCAUGUGAUCUAUCAUGACUUAGUGGUGUGCAUUGUCCUCAGAUACUAGGUGUUAGAAGAUAAAGGGGUGAUAAAAUGCUUUGGAAUUCUCUACUCCAUGCCAGUAGCUGCUGUAGAUUAAUUUAUAACGAGGCUCCUCCGUCUUUUUAAAGUCAAUUAUUUAUGAUAGGAUCAAUCGCCAUCAAAGCAGACCACUUGCGUUUUGAUGUGCUUCUAUAAUCAUCUGUGAGAACUUUGUUGCUCCAAGGGGCCGUGUCAGACAGUCUGUGUGAUGCUGCACUGAAGGUCAGUUCAUCAACUGCUAUAUAAAGAGCAUAAAGUGUAAAAGGUUUUCAAUACCUUAUGGGAACAUAGCUUUAAAGGAGUUAAUUAAGCAUGAAAAGGACAUUUUCCCCUGGUAGGCUCAAUCCAGGUCUGUGCAAGCACCCCCAUAGACUAGAUCUGGUCUGCUUUCUGUGCGUUGUAUUAACAGUAGUGAAUGCAUUGUUGAGACGCAUGUCUACUGUCAGAUGUUAGUUCCAAUCAUGUGGAGAAUGAUUAAUGCCCCUCUGUCCCAGAAGACAUCUACCACAUCUUACAUUGUGAAGGAGUUUCCAAUGGUGGGUGGUUGAUGAAUCCUAGCCACAGAUCUAGGAUCAGUUUAUCCUUCCAAAUCCUUUUCUUGACCAUUUAUGACAGGAAAACACAAAACAGACCCCAGAUCAGCUUCUAGUAACAACCUACUCCUACUCAUCUGGAUCAGACUCCGGCAGAUCCAUAUUUCUCCUCUGACUCAGCAGCCAUUGCUUUGUGAUCUCCAUCCAAAGUGUCCAGUCAUUUAGUCCGGUAAGUAAUCUGGUUAUAACCACAGAUCUAGGAUUAGUUUACCCACCCCAAACCCAAUCCAUAACUAGUAGGAGUGGAAAACUUAAAGACUGAGAUCAGUGACUAGGUAGGCGCAACAUAACCAGCACCAGCUCCACAUCAUUUCCACUGUGACUCAGCAGCCAUAGCCAUGUGAUCUCCCUGGUGGUUGAUCUGGUAUUAAUAGCCACGUUUAGGCUGUAGCACAGAACAGGAAGAGGCUGUUGUUAGCUAGCUGCAACCAGAGCUGACCAGAACAGACCUACAGCAAACUGCUCCUUCUGUACGCUUAUAGCUUAGACACAAAACACCUCUGAACAAAAUGUCGGCAGUCAAUCUCUUUUGUGUUCACACAGCAAAGACCUUGAAGUCGUCAACCACUCAGCCUUGUUAAAAUACUCCAAACCUGGAGGUGGCAGUAGCGUUGUUUGGCAAUGCUUGUCGGUGUGUGUUGCUUAGUUUAUGGUCUAGAUUCCCAAUAUUGGUUAUCUAGCUAGAUUGUUGUAGAAAGCCCUUGUUGAUACUAGCCAGAUGGCCACAGCUAGAUGACUACCUAGA